rnacentral:rRNA from 1 species
UUGGAGGGCAAGUCUGGUGCCUUGGAGGGCAAGUCUGGUGCCAGCAGCCGCGGUAAUUCCAGCUCCAAUAGCGUAUAUUAAAGUUGUUGCAGUUAAAGAGCUCGUAGUUGAAUUUCGGGACCAAUUUGUUGGUCGUGCCUCGGUACGUACUGGUAUUAUUGGUUUCUCCCUUCUGAAGAACCUUGAUGUCAUUAAUUUGGUGUCUUGGGGAAUCAGGACUGUUACUUUGAAAAAAUUAGAGUGUUUAAAGCAGGC